UUUUUCUUUUUCCAUCUCACGUUGCUUGCAACCUCCAUGGAAGCUUGAUAUGGAGCUUGCAUAAUUUUCUCUCUCUAGCCUUAGUUUUCAUAUCUUUGAGCCCUUUUGACUAGAACCCUUGUAUUCUUUCAUUCUCUCACUUCAAAACCCUUGAUAAAUCAAAUUUCCAUACUUUCUCUCACUAGCUGGGCAUUCUAGAGAGAGAAAAAAAGAAAUACACCAUUUGUUUGGAAGUUAUUGGAAGAGAAUUCAACUACAAAGAAACCCUAGGGUGAGUGAUGCACUAAGCUUGGUUUUUAGUUGUGGAUAAUGGCUAGUAAAUUAGAUUAUGAGUUGUUUUAUUGUUGAGGAUGUUCAUUCAUUUUAGAGUGAUUUAGAUAGUCAACAUAGAUAACCAUUUAAAGUGACAAUUAAAGGCUAGCUAAGAGAUAGCUUUUAGGGUUUAUAGUAUGUGAAUUAACAUAACGGUGAUGUUAAUGUGAAGGUAGGUUUCAAGGAAGCCCCAUCAUCCCAUUUGGACAAUUAAGGGAAUUAGAGUCAUCUAAAGGCUCAACAAUAUAUCGGUGAGUGGACUGCCUAUAAAAAUUAUUUUGGGACUAUGACCGUUUUGUACAAAGUAUUUGAAUGAUUCUAUAGAACUUUUGUUAAAACAAGUGCCUUGGGAACAAGCCUUUGAUAAAUCGAUUUUAUGUUAUGACAUAUGGUUAUCAUGAAUCUCUAUACUGCAGCAUUAUGUUGAUAUACAUAUAUGUUUGAAUAUAGUGUUGUGUAAUUAUAUUGACUCGGCUAUGUGCAAGUAGGGAGUGCACAUAAGCCGAGGAUGACCCAGUUAUGUGAGAGUAGAGAGUGCGCAUAACCUGGUGAUGACCGAACCAUGUGCGAGUAGGGAGUGCGCAUGAGCUGGUGAUGAUGAUGAUGUGAUGGUGUGCAUGAUGAUGAUGGGUAUACGUAUACAUAUAUACAUAUGUAAAUAUGUGUGCUAUAGGAAAUUAAUGAGUAAUGGUAUAUGGUUGUAAUGCAUGUGAAACUUGACAAGUUAAACCUUGGAAAAUUGUCAUGCACUUCAUGUUGGUUUGGACAUUUCAGCAGGGUGGUUUUUCUUUGGGAAUAAGGGAAAAUUUUUCAUUGGUGCUUUAUUUGUCGCUGCAACGAGAAUCAUUUUCGCUGCAGCGAGAAACUCUUGGGUUUGGAGGGGGUAAACUGGCUGAAAACUUGCUGCAGCGAGAAUGCAUUUUUGCUACAACGAGAAUGACACUAUAGCUUCUCGCUGUAGCGAAAUUCAUUCUCACUGUAGCGAGAAACUUUCUGUUUUUAGGUUACAAUUAUGUUGCAGCGAAAAACUUUCUGUUUUGUCUCCUAUCUUGUCCAAUUACUGCCCUAUUUUUAACUUUUUCGCUACCAUAUCUGAGCAUGGACUUCCAACAUUAAGGACUAAAUAAGUUAAAUUUAAAAUGAGGACGUUUAGUGAGAAACCCUCGGCCAGUUGAGAAGCCCUCGUUCGGCUAAUAACUUAAUCCCAAUGUCGCUAUAGCGAAGAUUCGUUGUCGUAUUUGACUUGCUUGUGAAAUAUUGAAGCUUUCAUUCUUGAAAUGGUUCGUUAUGUAUGGGAUUUUUAAACGAUUAAUCAUCUAAGGGUUUGAUGAGGGGUUUUUAAUAUGAAUGGAACUAAAUUGCAUUGUUUUGAAACAAGUGCAUCAUGAUUUUAAAUUCUCCUUUGUUAUUGCUUGUUCCCUUCCUUGUUCACUCACUAGGUUUAUACUCACUGUUUUCAACUUCAUGUUUUCAUAUCACGAGGCAACCGGUAACUAGGACGAGGUGUCCUUGUAGACUUUUAUCCAUAUUUUUGUAGGUGUCUUGACAUUCAAUAGCUGUACAUUCAUCCGAGUCCCUCUGUUGGAAAUAAAGUCUUCUUUUUGAGAUGUAUAGACAAACUUGAUGUAAAUUAUUAAGAUACAUGUUGUAGGCAAUGUACACUUAAUUGGUAUGCCAGUAUGAGUUGGCAUUGUUUCAUAUUACUUUGAUCCUAAGUUAUGAAAUGUGACUUAGUAGUUUAUGAUGGAAUGAUGAACAUGUCAGAUUGAUAGGCUUACUUGGGUUUAGUGGACUAUGUCCAUUGGGCCCAUGCGCCGGUCAUGGCCCGAAAUUUGGGUCGUGACACCGAUAUCCAUAAUCUAAAGAAUUAUGGAAGUAAAGGAUAAAGGCCACUUUGAUAAAGAAUGUGUCAAGAUAUAAGUUAGUUGAAUAAGGAUUCAUGAUUGAAGGAAAAAGAGAAGUAGAAAUGAGGUACACUAAAGAUUUUGAAUUUGGAUUGUUGCUAGGAAGUACAAAAGUAAAGAUAGUGUACUGUGGUAGCGUGCCGGAGGAAAUAACGAGCUACCAGAAAGUAGCAAUAGCUAGAUACGCCUCCGAACUAAUAGUGUUGUAACAUCCUGCUAUCGUAAGGUGAGUGAACUUGCAUUAAAAUAUUUUGGAAUAAAUGAUUAUAUGCUUGAUUGAACCACUAAAAUUAUUUUACUGGUUUUUCUUAAAAUUUGCAUAAGAACAAGCCCUUGAUGAAACGUUAUAUGUUAUGAAUGUGUAAUAUGAUGAAUCCUUGUGCUCCCAUAUUAUGUUGAUAUAUAUAUGUUGUAUAUUGAUAGUUAAUAUGGUGUGAUAAUUAUAACUGCGCAUGUGCCCGAUGUGGGGGUUGCACAUGCUGGUGAUGAGGGGGUGAGGGAGUGUGGAUGAUGAUAUAUGCCAUGUGCGGGAUGUGGGGGGAGCACAUGAUGGAAUUAGUUGUGCACGAUGUGGGAGUGCACACGAUGAUGAUGAUAUAUGCAAUGUGCACGAUGUGGGGGAAGCACAUGAUGGCAUUAGUUGUGCGAGAUGUGGGGGUGCACACGAUGAUGAUGAUAUAUGCCAUGUGCACAAUGUGGGGGGGAGCACAUGAUGGCAUUAGUUGUGCGCGAUGUGGGGGUGCACAUGAUGACCCCGGCUAUGUGCGGUGCGGAGUGCACAUGAACUGGGUGAGGUGGUGGUUGUAUACAUGCUUGUAUAUAUAUAUGCUAUAAAUAUGUUUUUUAUAUGCUAUAGAAAAGGUUAUGAAAAUAAUAUGUGACUGCAUUGAAUAUUGAGAAAAACUUGAUUAUUUUCAAUGUCCUUGAUUUAAUGUACAAUGUGUUCGAAUCAAGGCAACGAAGAUCUUAAGGACACUUAGUAUUUUCGUUGAAUUUUGUAUUACUUUAAGUCUAGAAAGACGUGGUGUAAAUGAAGUAGUAGUAGUUAUCUGUAUAAAGGACUUAAGAGUUUGGCUUUUAUUUUCAUGUGACUCAAACGGAUUAUGAAGUAGCUGUUUAAAUGACGUGGUGCAUAUGGUAAUCUUUUGGUAUGAUAGAGGUGGACUAGCAAUAUAAUUAUUGAACAAGGAUAUUCACCUGAGUGGUGUGGUUGGUCGCCAUAGAUAACUAUUAAAGGUUGAUGUAGAAAGUCAUUAAUGGUACAAGCAACUACAAGACCUAACAAGCGAUUACUGAUUAAUCGUGGAAAUGUGAAAUUUGAAAUCUCAAUUGCAGCUAUAAUUCGGGAGGAUAUGAGAGAAAUUAAUGAGACUAUAUAUGACACCUUGAAUGGUUAAUGUGAUUAAGUCAAGGAUUGUAAACUUAUGUAUUGAGGAAAUUAUAACUCGAUAUUCCUAUGGAUGAGAAAUGUUAAGGGUAUAUGCUGGAUAAACAGGAAAAGGGUCAAAAAGGAUAAUUCGUUGGUCAAGUAUCUGUAGUGUGUAGGUAGGUACAAAAGAGUUGUGCAAUGCAUAAAAGAAGAAAAAGAUAUGUAAGUCUUUUAAUUGUUUCUUAUAAAGUACGAUUGGUGGUAAGAAUUGAGGCACAUGGUGCCAUGACAUUAUAAAUUGAUAAUUUGGCACAAAUAUAGACCGUUGGGGGUAAAUGAUGGAGCUUGAGGAAGAUGAAUUCUUCAUUAGUAAGGAUUGUAGGUAUAAGGUGUGGAAAAGAUGAACUAUUUCCAUGGUUGUUUGUACUGAAAUGUCAAUAAAAUAUUUGAGUUACAAGACAAGAAAGACAAUUAAUUUGGGAUGAUAAGAAUUGUGGGAUGUCAUAAAUAAUGAGUAGUUAUGUGUGUGGUUCUGUAUAUAUAUCUUGUGAAGUCAUUACACAAUAUGGAGGGGAUGUCUUAAGGUGGGACUUAAUGAUUGAUGAUGAGUGUUAAAGGAUAAUAUGAGUUGAAAGUAUUGACUUCGCCUAAUGCAUAUGAUAAGCAAAAUGAAGAUACACAUGCUGAUGGAAAUUGUGGUAUGGGAUUAAAAGGAACCUAUGCGGUUGAGAAUGAUUGGUGCGGUAGCCUUAAAGGUAGAAGAAUUGCUUCAAUAAAGUAAAAAAAAAAAAAUUCUAGUAGUUGCAACUCCGCAGCGCUGACUGCCCAAUGCUACCGUGUUAAAAACCCUUCAUGGCUGGGAAGCGCAAGCAAAUUGUGAGUGGUAUGAAGAUGAAACUCACAAGUUGAAUCAUGGUCAUUGGUUUUGAUGUUGAGCUUAGUUAUUUGGAGUUUUAAGUUCGUGGAAAAGUGUUUAUAUGAGGGAAUUGAAAGGUUUAUUUAGUGCCUUUGACAUGUAAAAGAAAAAAGAGUUAAAGAGUUCUUGAGAUGGCUACAUUAAGAUAAAUUACCAUGUGGAGUAUUAAAAUGAAUAAUAUGUUGACUAAAGUCAAAUCUUAAGAAAUAAAGAAGACAAGAGAUUAAGCCUUGUUAAAGGCUAAGGAAAAAGUGAGUGAAAGGUUAGAUGAAUGUAUGAGACAUUGACAAGGGAUGUCAAUACCAAGUAUGAAAUUGUGAAUAAAGGAUUACAAUGGUAGCAUAGCAAAUGAGUUAAUAUAAAGUAUUGCUAUGAAGAUUUACAAAUCUUGUCAUGAUUUAGUUGAAUGAAGAGGAUUAGUAACAAUACAAGGCCGAUUACGUGGCAUGCUAGAAACCCUUGGGGAUAAAUUGAAGUAUGAAUAGUUGAGCAUGCAUUUAAAUAUCUUGGUGAAUAAGUGCAUGCCUUUUCGGAAUGAUAUGCUUGGAAGAUUAAAGAGCCAAUAAGUGAUUAAGUGUUUUAGGAAUGCAUCAACAUCGUUGAAAAGGAUAUACCAAUCAUACGUGGCAAGUAUAACAUCUGGAAAAUUUAAUCUUGCUAAAGAGCCUAAUGGCUAAACCACAAGUUAAAUAAUUAUAUAUGGUGAGAUAUAAGUUUAAGGUGGGUAUCUGCAAGGAAAUACUCAAAAGGAAUCCUGCUAUGCAUCUUGUGAAAACAAGCAUUAAGUUAUGUUGUUACAAAAAGGGAAGCUGUAAGCUGAAAGUGAUACUCACAUUGACAUUGAAAGGUACUUGAGAAGAACUUUAUUUCUAGUCUUGUAAUUUUGAGUACAUAUAGUUAAUUGGCUAAGGAAGAAUGAUGUUAUAUUUGUCUGAAAGAGUAGUGCAGAAGAUGAUUGGAGAUAAUCUUGAUAAUGAAGUCAGAUAAUGAAAACCUCUUAAUGUAUGAUUGGAGUUUAAAAACACAUGAGGCAGGCAUGAUCCAAAUGAAUCUAAGUCUUAAGUGACUGGUUAAUCUCGAAUUGCAAAAAGGAUAUAAUCUAUAUGUUACAGGCAUGAAAGAUAAUUGAAAUAAAAGGAUGGCUUGUAGGGAUUGUGAUAUUACAUAAGAUGCAAUGAUUAAGUAAGAGAUAAAUCUUUAAAGGAUCAACAUGGUUAUAAAGCAUAUACGAAUACCGGAUUGCAAUUUAAUGAAAAUGACAUUUGGCAAGUGAGAGGUGACUAAUGAGAUUAUGAUGCAAGGAUAUAUAGUAUAAUGAUAUUUAAGAAGAUAAUUGGAAAUGAUAAGAAAAGAGUAUGGCCAUGUAAAAGACGUGAAGCUAUGCAUAGGCAUAAUGAGAAUUCUUAUGGAUUACGUAAGAGAUAACUUACGGUAAGAUGCGAGUGGAAUGGUGAUUUAAACAUAUAAAAAAGGUAAUCUAAAAUUGAUUAUACCCCAAUGCUCAUACAUUAAAUAUGAGAGCGUUGACAUGAACUAUGAAGAUUAUCAUAUUAAAUCUUGGCUAUGGAUGGAAGCAAACAAAGAGAAAUUAGUCUGAAGGCACUUGAAAACAAGGAUCCCCACACUUAAUAAGGAAGGAUGAUACUUAAAUGUGUGGAUACGUACGUAUGUGUGGAUUUAAUGAUGUGCCCAACUGAAGUGAAGAAUUGUUCUUAGUGAUUCGAGCUUUGAACUCAAUAAUUGAUGAGUUGUAUAGAUAGUACAACGAUAAAAUAUCCCAUCAGAAGUUGAGCUAUGUUGAUAUAAAAUAUUUUGGAGAAAUAGUUAAGGAAAUGAUACCAAGGAAAUGUAAUCUAUAACGUGGUUAAGCCAUACAAGAUGGACUAAUAUGAUUAUGAAGAUUGAAAUUGCAGAAAUACAAGGUAAACAUGAGUAUGUGGGAAUAAUUGAAGCCGUUAACCUCCCCCAACAUUGGGAAUACGUACAGGAAUGAAUAUGGCGUGUUAAUAAUACUAUAAGCUACAUAAUAAUGUAUGAGGAUAGGAUGAAUGAAUGAAUGUCGAGAAGUUUGACAAGUAAUGAAGUAAUAAGAUGGUGAUUGGUAUACAUAAGUCAGUAUAAAAUGUGAUUGAAAUCGGUAUCAUUAAGAUGGAGUUACGGUUCAAAUUUAAUGAUGGUGAUAAUGGCAUACUCAACGUUUUAAAAUAAGAGAUAAUGAUCGUGAAGGGUACCACCGAUUUGAUUCUAAAGGAUGAUAACAGACAUAAGUGAAGCAUUCUAGUCAAACUGGAGGUAAACAAGGUGAAUGAAUGACUGGAGGUUUGACAAUAAUCAAAAUAAAGAUAUGUUUGAGGUUAGUAACGAAAUUAAAGGCAUACUUGGGAUCUUAGUGAUAAGAAAGAAUAGUUGAGAAGGGGACCGUGGUUUUGACUCAAAGAUGAUAAUAGAUAAAAGUUACGUACCCAGACCUAGUAAAGUAUUCUAGUGAAAUUGAAGAUAAUGAGAUGCGUAAAUCAAAUUCCUUACAAAGAAGGAAAUGGAAUAUGAUCAUUGAGUGAGAUUAACAACUCGAUAUUGAAGAGAAUUCAAGGAUGAAUCCUAUUUAAGUGGGGGAGAUUGUAAUAUCCCGUACUUUGUUAUGGUGGCUAAUAAAGCUUAUCGAAUGCUAAUUGAGGUUAAUUGGAAUGUUUAAAAGUGAUGAAAGGUGAAAAGAGUAUUUUAACAUAAAAUAUUUAACAAGCGAGGAAACAAUAAUAAAAUAAUAAUAAUGUUUUUACUGAGGAUGAAUUAGCAAGAUAAAAAGUGAUUCGGAGUAUAACAAGGUGUUUUGGGUGCCAAGGAGACAAGUGGAAAAUUUUAGAAUAAAAUAAUAUUAAAAUAUUAAUAUUUUAUUCAGUACCGUAAUUUUUCAUGAAAAGGGAGUAUAUGGUCAAUCUAAGUGGGGGAGAAGACAAACGAGGAAAUUUUAGAGAAAAAUGACGUUAAUGAGGCCCACGUGCCUUUAUUAAAUAAAGAUAACGUGGGUAGAUAAAUAUUUUAAAUAUUAUGGGCACACCGCAUCGGAGUUAAAACUUUAUAUUUCAUUUGUACAAGUGUAAAUGAAGAAAAUGGAAGGAAUUUGGAAUUAAAAGAUUGUGGGAGGAUACAAUUAAAAAGGGUGAAAACCUUGGAGGGCAAAAUGAUAAUUUUGCCAUUAAAAUGGUUAAACCUUUCAACUCUUCAUCCUUAUCCUUGGCUGAUCCUUAUCUCUUCAAGAUGGCAUUUCUUCUUCUCCAUCUCCUUCCUCCCAUGCCAUUACCAUACUUCCACCCCAUUUUCACUUGACUCCCAUGCAAUUGAAGAGAAAAAUAGAGAGAAUCAGCUAAGGAAAGAAAGGAGAGAAAUGUGGAAGGCUGGGGUAGUAAGUGAUUCAAGAGUAACUGAAGAAAUAUGAAGUGGGUUUCAAGAUUCAAGAUACAUAAGGUAAGGGUUUUUGUGUUUUAAGCUCAUGGUUGGUUAAAUCUUUGGAAAAAUGAUGUGUGAAUCAUUUUGUGGCAACUAUGGUGACCAUGGGUGUGAGGAAAUUAUGAAUUUUGUUGGGUGAAAUCCAAGCUAAAACCAAGUGGUAAGCUUAAUGCUACAAUUUGGUGUGUUGAUAUGUGUUGUUAGGAAAGGUUUAAAAGGUUAUGGAUGUUGGUGUGCAUGAAUGAAUAUUAAUAUUAUGCUCGGUGGCAACAUGUAAAUGAGGAUGGUGGUACAUGUAGACUUAGAAAAUGUUUGAUGGAAGUAAAUUUAUAGUUACUGCCAUAUGCUAGGUAAUUAUUGUGGAAAUGAUGGAUGAACUUGAUAAAUAUCCUUAGACAAGAUUUAUAUAUGUGCUAGAGUCAUAAAUAAGUUGUCGGUAUCCAUAAUCUAAAGAAUUACGCAAGUAAAGGAUAAAGGCCACUUUGGUAAAGAAUGUGUUAAGAUAUAAGUUAGUCAAAUAAGGAUUCAGGAUUGAAGGAAAAAGAGAAGUAAAAAUGAGGUACACUAAAGAUAUUGAAUUUGGAUUGUUGCUAGGAAGUACAAAAGUAAAGGUAGUGUACUGUUGUAGCGUGCCGGAGGAAAUAACGAGCGACCGAAAAGUAGCAAUAGCUAGAUGCGCCUCCAAACUAAUAGCGAUGUAACAUCUCGCUAUCGUAAGGUGAGUGAACUUGCAUUAAAAUGUUUGGGAAUAAAUGAUUAUAUGCUUGAUUGAACCACUUGAAUUAUUUUACUGGUUUUCUUAAAAUUUGCAUGGGAACAAGCCCUUGAUGAAACGUUAUAUGUUAUGAAUGUGUAAUAUGAUGAAUCCUUGUUCUCCCAUAUUUUGUUGAUAUUUAUAUGUUGUUUAUUGAUAGUUAAUAUGGUUUGAUAAUUAUAACCGCGCAUGUGCCCGAUGUGGGGGUUGCACAUGCCGGUGAUGACGGGGCGAGGAAGUGUGGAUGAUGAUAUAUGCCAUGUGCGGGAUAUGGGGGGAGCACAUGAUGGCAUUAGUUGUGCCCAAUCUAGGGGUGCACACGAUGAUGAUAUAUGCCAUGUGCGUGAUGUGGGGGGAGCACAUGAUGGCAUUAGUUGUGCGUGAUGUGGGGGUGCACACAAUGACUCCAGCUAUGUACGGUGCAGAGUGCAUAUGAGCUGGGUGAGGUGGUGGUUGUAUAGAUGCUUGUAUAUACAUAUGUUAUAAAUAUGUUUUUUUAUGCUAUAGAAAAGGUUAUGAAAAUAAUAUGUGACUUCAUUGAAUAUUGAGAGAACUUGAUUAUUGUCAAUGUGCUUGAUUUAAUGUACAAUGUGACAUGAGUGGAUUUUCCUUGUGGUAGUGAAAACCCCUUAGAUUAUAUCUAGCUACAAUUUUAUUGCAGGGAGAAUGCCUUUUCGCUGCGGUGGGAAUCAAUUUAUUGGGCUUGACUUGCUUGAAUUCUACUAAAGUUUUCACUUUUCAACUUCUUUGUUGUUCAUGGAUCCUUCAUCAUCAAGUGGUUAAACAACCAAGGAUUUGAAUGAGGGGUUUUUAAUAAGAAAUAAACUAAACUGCAUUGUUUUUAACUUAAGUGCAUCAUGAUUUCUAAACCUACCUUAACGUUGCUUGUUCCCUUCUUAUGUUCACUCACUGGGUUUAUACUCAUGUUUUUAAACUUCAUGUUUUAGGUUUUCUGAGUUAAAGGUGAUUGGUCCUAGGACGAGGUGCUCCUUCCUAUCCAUUGCUCAGUAGGUUUACCAUGACACUAAAUGUUAACAACUGUGCCCAGAGUCACUCCGUUGAUGGUCAAGGUCUAAUUAUGUGUAUAUGAAUGCUUGAUGUGAAAUGCUAAGAUUCAUUUGUCAAGCCAUAUAUGUAUAUUAUGGUUGAUGAUGCCAUUAUGAAUACAUAAUUCUAUCUUAUGAAUUGUUUU
rnacentral:lncRNA from 1 species